rnacentral:rRNA from 1 species
UACGUAGGGGGCAAGCGUUGUCCGGAAUUAUUGGGCGUAAAGGGCGCGUAGGCGGCUGUACAAGUCAAAGGUGAAAUCCCUCGGCUCAACUGAGGAACUGCCUUUGAAACUGUACGGCUUGAGGCCGGGAGGGGGUAGCGGAAUUCCCAGUGUAGCGGUGAAAUGCGUAGAUACUGGGAGGAACACCAGUGGCGAAGGCGGCUACCUGGACCGGUUCUGACGCUGAGGCGCGAAAGCGUGGGUAGCAAACAGG